CAGCCGCCGCCCGCCUGCCUGAUCUUCCUUGGCCCUUGCUUGCUCUUGCAAAUCGAUCCCUCUGUUUUUCCUAAGUUUUCUUUUUCGCUUCUUGAUGAUGAUGGGUGCGAUGAAGAGCUAGUUAUCUUGAUCCGUCGCCUCUAAUGGUGGUGGUAUGAUGUUCAUCUUUACUACUGAUCCCAGCAGAGGGGCGUGAUUCUCCGUCGUUGAGGCCUCUCUAACAACAAUUAAUCUUCGCAGAGGAACGAGACGCCGUGGAUUUGUGGAUGUGUGAUUUAUUCUGGUUCUGUCACAUCUGUUGCCAUGGCUACAUCAUUGUUUAAGAUUUUUGUUUGGAUUUUCAAACCUUUUUUGCUUGGUGCUUCUCUGUGAGAGGAACCGGAACCGAGGGACCUAUGGAUGGACAGCUUUUCACCGUGCUGUGUCUACCAAGUUUGCCUUCGGAUAGCAUCAUGCAAACUGUUCUCAAAUCGUCCUGCGUGAACUCCCGUUUUAUGCGAGAUUGAAACAUUUUGCAGACAUUCGUUUAUGAUUAUUCAACAGGCGAUGCCUUAGCUGAAACUAUCCAGUUGUUUGUUUGUUUUUCAGACUUUGUUGCACUACCAGAAUCCUGCAUUUAGCUGUGACUUUGUGUUGAAGACUCCGAAUGAACAGAUACGGCCUAAUUUACGUA